AGUGCUCCAUUAAAACAUCAAAAUUAAUACUCUGAAUCGUUGCUGCUAAAAAACCUGUCAAUUUCUCUCUCUCCUUGCCAUUAUAUAUAUAACGUCCAUUCAGUCCAAAAACCAAACAUACCAAACUCAUCUUGAUGCUUGGACUUGGUUUCUGUCAUCAGAUCAUCCGUUCAGCUCUCAAACUAUCCCAUUCUUCUCUCUUCCUCUACUGAAUUGGACAAAUUCUACAUAAAAAUGAAUCACAAGGCCAACAGCAUUCCAAAGCUUGACUUGAAGCUCAACCUGUCUCCUCCAUGGCCAUACCCACAGCUCCAAGCAGCAUCGUCGCCAACGAACAGAUCAGUUUCGUUGUCUCCUCCGAGCUCGUGCGUGUCGUCGUUGGAGCUCAGCCCCGAUCACCACCACCACCGCUGUUUUCGCUAUCCAAGCAGCCCGGAAGCGAAAACAAUGAUGCUUGUGGGAUGCCCUCAGUGUCUCAUGUAUGUUAUGUUGUCUGAGGAUGAUCCAAAGUGCCCCAAAUGCAAGAGCACUGUCUUGCUUCAGAUUCUUCAUGAAGAAAUCACCACCAAAAGGACUCAGAAAUGAAUCAAGCUUUUUGGGUUUAUUUUCUAAACCUUCAUGGAUCCAACUUUUAGUUACUAUGUUUUUUUGUUUUUUGUUUUUUUGGGGGGUUAUGUGGUGUGUUUGGUUGCCCAAAAGAGAGAAGAAAGGAAAGAACGUUUUGAUUCUGUUGAAGUUUGAUUUUAGUGUGAUUGUAAAUCCUAAAUUUGCUUCUGUUUCUCUCUGUAUUCUUUGCAACCAAACAAGCCUUGUGUUCU